rnacentral:rRNA from 1 species
CCCUUAGAUGUUCUGGGCCGCACGCGCGCUACACUGACGAAUGCAACGAGCUUAUAACCUUGGCCGAAAGGUCUGGGUAAUCUCCAAAUUUCGUCGUGAUGGGGAUAGAUUAUUGCAAUUAUUAAUCUUCAACGAGGAAUGCCUAGUAAGCGCAAGUCAUCAGCUUGCGUUGAUUACGUCCCUGCCCUUUGUACACACCACCCGUCGCUCCUACCGAUUGAAUGGUCCGGUGAAGCGCUCGGACCGCGGCCUCUUGACGGUUUUCCGUCGAUUGGCUGUGGGAAGUUCGUUAAACCUUAUCAUUUAGAGGAAGGAGAAGUCGUAACA